rnacentral:lncRNA from 1 species
CAGAACGUAAAACAAGUGAGAUAGCAUUAGGUACGCUGGCAUGUCUUCUAGGUGCACGGAGUCCUCCUCUUCAACCAGCCACGUAUUAACUGUACAAUUAUAAUAAGUUUAGAUAAGUAGAGCAAAAACAAAUACGAAAAUUCAUAUUAUAACAUUGGGUUACCUACGUGUAUACUCAUGUACUAUCAAGAUCAUCAUCACUUUGAAAAUCUGAGUCAUUGGAGUUUUCAUUAACAUCAGACUCUAAAAUGGAUUCAUCAUUGACGAUAAAUCUUUCAUCGCCACUAUUUUCAUCUGUAUCCUCC